UACGGAGGGUGCGAGCGUUGUCCGGAAUCAUUGGGCGUAAAGGGCGCGUAGGUGGCCCGGUCAGUUCGUGGUGAAAGCGCGGGGCUCAACCCUGCGUCGGCCAUGAAUACUGCCGCGGCUGGAGCACUGUAGAGGCAGGCGGAAUUCCGGGGUGUAGCGGUGGAAUGCGUAGAGAUCCGGAAGAACACCGGUGGCGAAGGCGGCCUGCUGGGCAGUUGCUGACACUGAGGCGCGACAGCGUGGGGAGCAACAGG
rnacentral:rRNA from 1 species